GAAUGAAUAUGAUGAAUUUGAAUGGGAUGGUGAUGAUCAAUUUCAUAUGAUCGAUUUUAUCCUCGCUACGUUCUUUCUGAUCAAUU